GCCCGCGUACCACAAAAAAAUAAAAAGAAUAACACCUGUAAUGUGUUCAUAAUCAUAUACAUAUGUAUGUAUGUGUAUCAAGGAUGGGUUGAAAAUUGGCAGUAUACGACCUAUAAAAUGAGACAUUUGUUAAGAAUAUUGAAAGGUAGCAUAUAAAAAUCAUAUUUCUUUCAACAUUUAAAAGCUAUUUCUGUCAGUAUAUAUUUUCUACUCAAAGGUAGUCAAGUCACAUUCUUUACGGUGAUUUUUUAAAUUUUUCUUGAGAAUGAACAGUUCUUUCCACAUAUAUUUCAAUAACAAAAGGUAGGCAAGAACUGAGAAGAAUAAUUGACUUGGAAACAAGUUUUCAAUUUCACCACUAGAGGAUGUCAAGUCCUUUUUUAAUUAUUAUUUUGAGUAACAGAUUGAAAUUCACAAAAUUGCCUCUGCCCAGGCUUUGUGUACUUAACCUUAUGCUAGUGCCAAGAGCUGUGAAAGUGUGCAGAGGUAAUUUCUCAAUUUAAUAACUCCCUUUUAAAAAGCCUACUGAAUUAAGACCAAAGUUAAAGCUGCUUUUGACUAACUCAUAAGAGCACACUUUCAUGCACAGGGAAUAAGUUAAUACCUAUAAUCUGUGAAUUCUGUUGCUAUUCCUUUGGGGAAAAUGACAUAGAACCUGGAACUGGGCUUUUUCUCUCUUUAGCAGGCAGUGCAGUGGAACAACAUGGGCCUUUUUUGUGAUCUGGAUCAUGACCCUUCACUGCAUUUUUCCAAAUUAAAAAGUGAUAUUUAAGGUAUUAGAUUUCAGGGUCUACAAAUAUCUGCAAAUAAAAAUUGUUAGAUGGGGUUCAGACUACAAUUUGUUAUUAAACUCAUUGUUUUGAAAGUCACGUCCUAAAGCUAUUAAUGCUUCAUUCCAAGUGAAUAGAUAACUUUUUUCCUGUUAUAUUUUGGCUGGCUCUUACCUUUGCAUCUUGCGAAGUAGGAGGAAAGUAUUAUUAGAUGAGGCAUUUGUGCUCAGGAGAGUGCAUUUAUUGGAUAUCAUUAGUUAGGCAUGUGUAUGAAACACUAAUUCGUAUUGGCAUGUUCUCUUAAAAAAAAAAAAUAACAUCUUUGCCUCCUGGUGCAUGACAGAAAAUCAUUUGAAAUGGGUUAUUUUUUAAAACUCGGGUCUCAUUAUAUUGUUAUAAAAAUUGAAAAUAUUGAGGCUUAGCAUAAUUUGACCAAGAAAUAUUUACCUUCUAUAAAGUUUUAUGGUGGCUGAAAGGUUGAUGAAGACAUGGUCCGUGGAUUUCAAAAGGAAAACAUCACUCACAAACAAAUAAUUGCAGGCUAUGAGGAGUUAAGUGAAGAAAGAAUUACUUCCAGCUGUGGUCUUUCAUCAUGGAAAACAUACCGGGCAUAGUAAUUUAAAUUUUUUAAAUGGGUAAAUGACAUAUAAAGUUGAAUGGAGGAAAGAGAAAUAUAAAGGUGCAGAUGUGGAAAAGAGCAAAGUUUUGGUCAUAUUGAGCUGUGUGAGGCUCAUUAUGAAAGAGUCUAGAAGGUGGAUUAGGAAUGAAGGCACAUUGAGGCCAAAUUGUGGAGUGAUCAAGCUUAAGAGGUUAGUACAUGAUUCUGCAGGCAGUGAGGAAAUGUUGAUGAUUCCUGAGGAUAACAUAUCUUUAAUAAAGUACGAUAAAUUAGGCAAUUCUCUACCCAUGGAUCUUGAAAGCUUGAUUGCCAAGUCUAGCAGAAGAGCUCAGCUGUGCCUUUUAGGAAUGCAUGGUCCCUUCAUCUAGGAAAGUCAUUCCCUUGAUUGAUUUUUGCUGCUUUGGGAAGGGUAUCACGGGGCGGGGGAAGGGGAGAGUGUAUGAGGAACAUAAGGCAUAACCAGGCAGAUUAGCCAAAUCUCUGGUGAUAGCGAGGUGAUCGGUAUUCUACCCAUGUGAUCCUCAUUUUGAAGUAGCAGUGUAGACUAGAGGAGGGAUUUAAGCAGGACACAUUCAGCUACAUACGGACUGGCUUUGAAGUUCCUGCAGAAGUCUUCUGGGCAGGCGUUGGGCCAGCACUAUGGCAUGGCAGUGGAAAUGGGAAGAGAAUGAUUAAUUCAAGAUUCUACAGAGGCAUGUGUCAAAGGAUGCAGGCAUGGAUCCUCCCUUUCCUUUCCUCUCCACAUCUUGCCAUCUCUGUAGAAGUUGAAGAGGGGUCUAGGAUUCUAAACCUUGUAGGCCAAGUAUUUGUCAGAAGGAGAAGAACUGGAGUAGGAAGAAGAGAAUCUAAAUUUUCAUCAUAGACUUACUGCCAACUAACAUUUGACUUGGGCAAGAAACUUCACUUCGUGGGCCUCAGCCUCUUCGUGUGUAAAAUGAUGCUGAUUCCGAUGCCUUCUCAGACCCAUUCAGCUCGUUUCCCAGUCUUUUAUUCCAAAUGCCUACAUCACAGGUUAACAUGAUUUUAAAUAAACUCCAUAUAUGAAAUUUCCUGUGUUUCUCUAAGCCACAAAUCUAAACAUGUUGACUUAAUUAAAUCUCCCAGCCUUUGCAGGGAAAGAUUUCUGAAGAUUUAUCUAUUUUUUUCCAGCAGGGAUUUGCUAACCGUUUAGUACCUUUCCAGUCCGAGACUGGGCAGUAUAAGUAGAUAAAAAGCAGAAGUGUCCCUUGAUGGGAGUUGACAGUUGAACUGGAAACACCUUAAAUAAUUAUGAAGCAAAAAUGAACUAGUUACAACAAUGUAUUCUAAGAUGUAAUUAAAGCAGCUGGUAUUUAUUAA